AUUGAACGCUGGCGGCAGGCCUAACACAUGCAAGUCGAACGAGUGGCGGACGGGUGAGUAAUGUCUGGGAAACUGCCUGAUGGAGGGGGAUAACUACUGUAAACGGUAGCUAAUACCGCAUACCAUCGGAUGUGCCCAGAUGGGAUUAGCUAGUAGGUGGGGUAAAGGCGCACCUAGGCGACGAUCCCUAGCUGGUCUGAGAGGAUGAUUGGCCACACGGUAACUGAGACACGGACAAGAGUCCUACGGGAGGCAGCAGUGGAGAAUAUUGCACAAUGGGCGCAAGCCGGAUGCAGCCAUGCCGCGUGUAUGAAGAAGGCCUGCGGGUUGUAAAGUACUUUCAGUGGGGAGGCGUUACCCGGAGAAGAAGCACCGGCUAACUCCGUGCCAGCAGCCGCGGUAAUUC
rnacentral:rRNA from 1 species